AUGGGUGCUAACCGUCGGCUAUUUAAAUUUCCUGCCAAGUUGCGGAUUCCCCUCCGCCUCGCCACCGGGAUCGCCGUUGCCGGCCUGGCCUGGCAAGAAAGCACUAAACCCCUCUCCGCCGACUCUUCGCUCUCCUCCUCCAGCGAUAAGAUCAAAUUCGCCUUCGAUGGCGUCGUCCGAUCCUCCCGCGCGAUCUAUACCAUCACUUUUAUUGUUGUUGAUUACAAGUAUUCUCUAAGGAGUCUGCCUCCGAAUUCAAACGAGUAUCGGAUCAAGCUGUCAGAGGUUCAUUUUCGCUCGGCCAGAAGGUUGCUUAGAUUGUGUGAAGCCAAUAAAGGAUUUUAUGUCAAAGCUGGUCAGUUUGUUUCAUCUUUGAGACAAGUACCGAAGGAAUACACUUCGACCCUUUCAUCUUUGCAAGAUCAGGCAAUUCCAUGUCACUUCAAAGAUAUUAAAGAAGUAAUAACCAAAAAUUUGGGCAAGGAUUUAUCAGAAGUAUUUCUAGCAUUUGAUGAACAACCAAUAGCUGCUGCAUCAAUUGCUCAAGUACAUCAUGGAGUGUUAAAGGAUAACAAAGAAGUAGCUAUCAAGGUACAAUACCCUGGCUUAGAGCAGCGGAUGAAGAUAGAUAUUACCACCAUGGAUGUCCUCUCAAAGUCUGUCUCCUGGAUUUUUCCCGAUUACAGGUUUGAGCGGAUGGUUUCACAAUUUGAGAGGGCUAUGUCUUUGGAACUUGAUUUCAUUCAAGAGGCAAACAAUUCUGAGAGAACAGCCAGAAAUUUCAAAAAGAAUAGCAUCAUCAAAAUUCCUCAUGUAUAUUGGGAUCUGACGACACGCCAAGUUUUGACUAUGCAAUUUUGCAGUGGACACAAGGUCGAUGACUUGGACUUUCUGAAGGACUCCGGUAUAAAUCCAAAGAAGGUUGCCAAAGCAUUGAUGGAGGUAUUUGCUGAAAUGAUAUUUGUCCAUGGUUUUCUACAUGGAGAUCCCCACCCUGGAAAUAUAUUGGUUUCUCCAGAAGGUCGUCAUGGAUUCUCAUUAGUUCUUUUGGAUCAUGGAAUCUAUAUAGAGCUGGAUGAAAGAUUCAGAUUGGAUUAUUGUCAGCUGUGGAAGGCUCUAAUUUUAUUGGAUUCACAGAAAAUACAACAUCUAGGUGAACGGUUUGGUGUUGGCAAAUACUCAAAAUACUUCCCUGUUAUCUUCACUGGGAGAACCAUAGAUAGCAAAUCAGCUCUUGGAACACAAAUGUCAAAUGAAGAGAAGAAACGUCUGAAACAAGAACUGCGCUCUCUGAGGAUGGAAGAUAUUUCAUCGUUCCUGGAAUCAUUGCCAGAUGACUUUCUAACCAUAUUACGAACAGAUGGAUUGUUGAGGUCCAUAAGCAGCAAGCUGGGUGCACCACGACGCGUGCGUCUUCUUGCAUAUGCUAGGUAUGCUGUAUAUGGCCUAGGAUCACAGUCCAGCAUCAACUCUGGUUCAAGAGUUACAUAUGCACUCUCCAAAAUUAGAACAAAUGUGAGUCAUAUUCAGUUCAGGAUACUUAUUGAAAUAUUGGCAUUGCUCUCUCAAAUUGAAGAUAUGAGAUAUUCGCUUGUCAGUAGCACGAGGAGGAUGCUGCAUGGAGUCGUUGAUUUCCUUUUUGAGACUUUAUUUUUCUUGCAUUCAUGAAGUACAGGGAUAGUGAGAAGGCUGUAGAGGACAUCCGGUAGUGUCUCAGGUAGGAAGAGAUGAUGUGGUGUGAUAUCUGAAGUAAAAGUAGCAAAUAAAUAUCAGCUAUGCACUGGGGGAGACCCGCUUGCAAGCCUAUAAGACGGAUCCAAGCUAAUUGGCCAGGGAGGAAAAACUGGUGGUGCAAACUUUUUGAAGUGCCACUGGUCAAUCCUCUCAUCAAUUUAUCUCUCAUUGACAUGGAAGAACUAUCAUGUGAUGAUGUCAUAUCUUGUAUGAUAACCAUUGGAGCUAACAAAUAUUGGUACCAGAAGAUGCAUUUUCAUUCCAGGAAUCCAUUUUAUAAUCAUAAUGCAACAAUCAUGGGUGUACAGUGUGGUCACAUUCAUGGAAAAUCUUUAUUCGGUACUCAGAAUUUGAUUAAAGGCACAAAGUUCAGCCCCCUUGGCUCUCUGAGCUUGCUAGUUAUGUCCCUGUCUGGGAUGCCUUCACCAUUUUGAAGAACUCUCCAUGCGAUUUGAACAUAUGACUUGUGACAGAAUGUAAUAGUGCUUGGCUGUGCCGCAGCCUACUUUUACUGAACAAAAUAAAAUAUUCUUCGGUAAACAGAAACUAUUUGCUGUGGAUGAUGUACAUUAGGAUGUUCCAAGGAAGUGAAAAUUUGAAGCUCUAAGGGACAUGUACUGAGAAAAGGAAUAACUUGUUAAUAGCAUAUCUUGAAGGGCUGGAAGAGAAA